rnacentral:rRNA from 1 species
AACGAACGCUGGCGGCAUGCCUAACACAUGCAAGUCGAACGAGACCUUCGGGUCUAGUGGCGCACGGGUGCGUAACGCGUGGGAACCUGCCCUUAGGUUCGGAAUAACUCCCCGAAAGGGGUGCUAAUACCGGAUAAUGUCUUCGGACCAAAGAUUUAUCGCCUUUGGAUGGGCCCGCGUUGGAUUAGCUAGUUGGUAGGGUAAAAGCCUACCAAGGCGACGAUCCAUAGCUGGUCUGAGAGGAUGAUCAGCCACACUGGGACUGAGACACGGCCCAGACUCCUACGGGAGGAAGCAGUGGGGAAUAUUGGACAAUGGGCGAAAGCCUGAUCCAGCAAUGCCGCGUGAGUGAUGAAGGCCUUAGGGUUGUAAAGCUCCUUUACCCGGGAUGAUAAUGACAGUACCGGGAGAAUAAGCGCCGGCUAACUCCGUG